UACGAAGGGGGCUAGCGUUGUUCGGAAUCACUGGGCGUAAAGGGCGCGUAGGCGGCACAGCAAGUCGGGAGUGAAAGCCCGGGGCUCAACCCCGGAAUGGCUUUCGAAACUGCUGAGCUAGAGUACAGAAGGGGCAACCGGAAUUCCCAGUGUAGCGGUGAAAUGCGUAGAUAUUGGGAAGAACACCUGAGGCGAAGGCGGGUUGCUGGGCUGAUACUGACGCUGAGGCGCGAAAGCCAGGGGAGCAAACGGG
rnacentral:rRNA from 1 species